UAGUGACAAGAAAUAACAAUACAGGCCGGUCCGUUUUGGUAAUUGAAAUGAGUUAAGUAUAAACCCCUUAACAACAUCAAUUGGGAGGGCAAGUAUGGUGCCAGCAGCCGCGGUAAUUCCAGCUCCAACAGCGUAUAUUAAAGAGGUUGCAGUUAAAAAGCUCGUAGUAAAUAUUCGGUUAAUUUUUAUAUACAAUGCUACGGUAUUUAUAUAAUAUUAACAUAAUUCAUAUUACUUUUUAGUAUAUGAAACUUUACUUUGAGAAAAUUAGAGUGCUUAAAGCAGG
rnacentral:rRNA from 1 species